rnacentral:tRNA from 1 species
CGCUGGAUAGCUCAGUCGGUAGAGCAUGAGACUCUUAAUCUCAGGGUUGUGGGUUUGAAUCCCAUGUUGGGUGA